ACGAACGCUGGCGGCGUGCUUCACACAUGCAAGUCGAACGGAAAGGCCCUGCUUUUGUGGGGUGCUCGAGUGGCGAACGGGUGGGUAACACGUGAGUAACCUGCCCUUGACUUUGGGAUAACUUCAGGAAACUGGGGCUAAUACCGGAUAGGAGCUCCUGCUGCAUGGUGGGGGUUGGAAAGUUUCGGCGGUUGGGGAUGGACUCGCGGCUUAUCAGCUUGUUGGUGGGGUAGUGGCUUACCAAGGCUUUGACGGGUAGCCGGCCUGAGAGGGUGACCGGCCACAUUGGGACUGAGAUACGGCCCAGACUCCUACGGGAGGCAGCAGUGGGGAAUAUUGCACAAUGGGCGGAAGCCUGAUGCAGCAACGCCGCGUGCGGGAUGACGGCCUUCGGGUUGUAAACCGCUUUCGCCUGUGACGAAGCGUGAGUGACGGUAAUGGGUAAAGAAGCACCGGCUAACUACGUG
rnacentral:rRNA from 1 species